rnacentral:misc_RNA from 1 species
GUACAAUAAUGUAUUAUGUUAACGUGAAGCUACCAGCGGAUUCGAAUUGUAGAUUUUGCUGAGAAGAACCUACUAUAAAUUCAACAAUACCCUCUUAAAAUUUAUGGAUUCUGUGUUAAGCCGGACAUUUUCUGAUUGAAUGUUCUAAAUCUAGUUUUCUUAUAAACAUAAUUGUUCGGCAAUCGUGGAAAGGAGAACUGUGAGCUAGGUUCAAAAAAUGCAAUGCCAGUGAUUUUUUACAUAAGACAAGCUUGAUUGAUGGCUUGUUAUUCGUUUAAAAGAAGUUCUAUAUGGCCCUAGUUUGGAUAUGCUACGGCACAUAAUUAACCCCGUCCAACGCGGAUGAAAAACGCGCCGUAAAAUGUGCUACUUAACUUUACGUACAUAUCUGCAUUCUACGGAAGCCACGAUUCCGUUUCCGCGACGGAGACAGAUAAAAAUUGCUGAGUCUUUAGGUAAGUUAGGUAUCUGUAAAAAUUAAACAAGGAUCGACUAUAUGUAUAUGUGUAAUUUAUUACACUUUUUUACCACAAAAAAAACGUAAUAGCCAAGUCGAUAAUCUAUAUAAACAGAAAGCUAUGCUAGCUAUGUUCUAUAAUUUUUCUUUCAAAUUUAAUGAAAUGAAGUUCAAUUAAAUUA